GCUGUAGGUUCAGGAAUGCUUCCUGCAUGUUGUUCCCAGUUCUGCAUCAGGCACCAGGCUGGGCUGUAACACAGGGGACCUUAGACUCUCACCACGGCACCAACUUGCACAUGGGCUUGACUCCUGGGUCCUUCGUGCAGGAAACAGCCUCGAGAGAGGCUCUCGGGAAGCUCCAGCACAUAUCUCUGGUGGCCUCUCUUCCCAGGGCUCACAGGCUGCCACCCUGUUCUGCUACCCACAACACCUUGGGCUCACACCCCCUGAGGACCCACUAUCCACAGCAAGGCUCAACCGCAGCUCCAGUGCCCCACUUCAUGCUGCAGUGCGAAAGUCCUAACUGGAGCCCUGGGUACAUCUGGAUCAAGUUAAUUACAAAACAAGACAUACAUGGGAAUAGCCAAGCAGUCCCACUGAAAGCACAGGCAAGAAGCCGUUCAUCCCAACAGUUGUGACUGCGCCCAGACUCCUAUGUUCCUGCUGGGAGUCUGAGCACAUCCUGUCGAACAUGUCUGCAAAAACAACCCUUGUUAUGCUAAUCUCAGCCCUGUUUAUGAUGGUAAAACUUCUUGGGAGCAAGCCAAAUGUCAAGAUUGGGGGAUUCAUUAAAUAAACCAUGGUGCUAUCCAUACAAUAGGAAACUACAUACCCACUAAAAAUAACAUCAAGGAAGAAUAUUAAUAGACAUAGAAGCUGAGUGGGUAUAUUGCUAAGAUUUAAAGGCAUCUCACAAACAGUGUUAACAGUUGUUCUGAGUGUUAGGAUUAUACAGGUGAUUAUCACAUUCUUCUGCUGAUUUGUCGGUACUUUGUGCAAUGAUUCUGCUGUGUGCUGUGCUUCGUUGUUCAAUCAUGUCCGACUCUUCGCAACCACAUGGACUGUGGCCAGGCUCCUCUGUCC
ensembl:lncRNA